rnacentral:tRNA from 1 species
GACCGCGUAGCUCAGUUGGCAGAGCAUUGGGCUAGUAUUCCAAAGGUCGUAGGUUUGAAUCCCACCGUGGCA